rnacentral:rRNA from 1 species
GGUCUUUUGUUUAAAUAAAAGAUCUGGCCUGCCCAAUGAUUGUUUUUAAUGGCUGCAGUAUUUUGACUGUACAAAGGUAGCAUAAUCACUUGUCUCUUAAUUGGAGUCUGGGAUGAAUGGUUUGAUGAAAAACUGACUUUCUUUAUGUUAAAUAUAAAAUUUAUUUUUUGAGUUAAAAAACUCAAUUUUUGAUAUAGGACGAGAAGACCCUAUAGAACUUUAUUAUCCUAUAGAUAAUUAUUUAUUUGUAAAUAAUUUUUAUUUAUUUGUGGGGUAAUUUUGUUGGGGUGACAAAAAAAAAUUAAUAACUUUUUUUCAUUAUUUCAUUUAUUUAUGAAUUUUUGAUCCUUUAUUAUGGAAAUAAGACUAAGUUACCUUAGGGAUAACAGCGUUAUUAUUUUAGAGAGUUCUUAUCGAUAAAAUAGUUUGCGACCUCGAUGUUGGAUUAAAAUUAGUUUCAGGAGUAGAAGAUUGAUUAUCUAGGUCUG